GACCUAAUAGUCUAGACGGUUAGGAUACAUGGCUUUCACCCAUGCGACCCGGGUUCGAGUCCCGGUUAGGUCA
rnacentral:tRNA from 1 species